UAACACAGAGAAAUUUGUGCUAAUACCUCAUAAUCCCUCAGGGCAAAGAUUUAUCGCCUGGGGAUGAGCCCGCGUUAGAUUAGAUAGUUGGUGAGGUAAAAGCUCACCAAGUCGACGAUCUAUAGCUGGUCUUAGAGGACGAUCAGCCACACUGGUACUGAGACACGGACCAGUCUCCUACGGGAGGCAGCAGUGAGGAAUAUUGGACAAUGGGGGCAACCCUGAUCCAGCCAUGCCGCGUGAGUGAAGAAGGCCUUAGGGUUGUAAAGCUCUUUCAGAUGCGAAGAUAAUGACGGUACCAUCAGAAGAAGCUCCGGCUAAAUUCGUGCCAGCAGCCGCGGUAAUACGAAUGGAGCGAGCGUUGUUCGGAAUCACUGGGCGUAAAGCGUAUGUAGGCGGAAAUGGAAGUCAGGAGUGAAAUCCCGGGGCUCAACCCCGAACUGCUCUUGAAACUUCAUUUCUAGAAUCCUGGAGAGGUUAGGAGAAUUCCGAGUGUAGAGGUGAAAUUCGCAGAUAUUCGGAGGAAUACCAGUGGCGUAGCGCCUAACUGGACAGGUAUUGACGCUGAGAUACGAAAGCGUGGGGAGCAAACAGGAUUAGAUACCCUGGUAGUCCACGCCGUAAACGAUGUGUGCUAGUUGUCGGGCAGUUUACUGUUCGGUGACGCAGCUAACGCAUUAAGCACACCGCCUGGGGAGUACGGUCGCAAGAUUAAAACUCAAAGGAAUUGACGGGGACCGCACAAGCGUGGAGCAUGUU
rnacentral:rRNA from 1 species